CACGUAGGGCGCAAGCGUUGUCCGGAAUUAUUGGGCGUAAAGCGCUCGUAGGUGGUUUGUUACGUCUGCUGUGAAAACCUAGGGCUUAACCCUGGGCUUGCAGUGGAUACGGGCAGACUAGAGGUAGGUAGGGGAGAAUGGAAUUCCUGGUGUAGCGGUGAAAUGCGCAGAUAUCAGGAGGAACACCGGUGGCGAAGGCGGUUCGCUGGGCCUUACCUGACACUGAGGAGCGAAAGCGUGGGGAGCGAACAGG
rnacentral:rRNA from 1 species